AUCAAUCCAAGACAUGCAUUAGAAUUCAUUAGGCCCCUCUAGUUAUCCUGACCAUAAAAUACAUUAAUCAGAAUUAAAUACAGCAACCAGAAGACUCGAAUUUCAUCAACAUUUCUUGGGUAGUCAUUGGCAUUUAGGUGUUCCAGAUAUGAGAGAAAUCACAAACUUGAUUUUAGUUGCUGCUUUUAUAGCUGAUUGGCCAAAACCCUUCCAUAGUUACAUAUGAUUCAGUAAAAUAAUAAACAAAUUUUCUCCAUGCUCAUGGCAGUUACUAAUCAUAUAUGGGUUCCUUGGAAAGAAACAUCCAAUCAAAAUUGUUAAACAAGAGAUACUUUGAUGCAGCCCUAGGGCUGGGCCUGCACUAAAGAUAAUUAAGAGGCCUUUUAGAAGGAUUUACUAGGGUCCCAAGCAAGCAAUGAAAUCCAAUCAAGGUUUUGGCAACCUAGAUUGAGUUUUUAAAAGGUCUGUUGCAUACCUGCAAGGAGGAGAGGUCAUUGUUGCUGUUCUGAAAUUACAGCAUGAACCACACACGUAAAAGAUGACAUGAAAACAGAAAAUUAUAACCAGUGAUGCAGGAUAUUUUGUAGGCAACAAAUAACAUGAGAUGUCAGCAAAGGAAUUCAAAAUUUAGUGAUCUAUAAAGGUAAAAUAGCAGCUAUAGAGUUUGCUUCCAGCAAGAUUAUGAAAUAAAUGAGCAAGCAUGAUAAUAAAUACAAGGAGGAAAAGAAGAUAGAGAGAGAGAGGUAGGGAGAGAGGGGAUAAACGACUAUGAUGGUGAAGAGAGACUAGGGGAAAAGCGAGCACAAGGAACCAAAAAAAGAAGGCCCUUUUCUUUACAUGUGAAUAUGAAAUGGAGAGGAAAAGAGAGAACAAGGGAAACGAGAGAAUAGAAAAGAAAGGAGGAAAAGAGAACCUUGGAAAUCAGAAACAAGAAAAGAAAGUUCGCUUCUUUUCUCUCCACAUCUCCACUUUUGGAGAGAUUUGAAGAGUGGAUUAGGAGAGACUUCUCUCCAUAUUUCUCUGCUCCUCUUUUUCCUUGACUAUUUACUAGGGAUUCUCUCUCCGCUCUCCCUCUUCUAAUUAAAUUAAAGAUUCUGACUCCUCUCUCUUCUCUCCAAAUCUCUCAAGCCAAUGAGAGGUUUGUUGGGUUGCAAGAAAACUAUGAAAAUGCAAGUUUUUCCUCCAAUAAGGAAAAGUCUUAUAUUUUAAGUCUUUGACGUAUUGGAAGAAGCAAACAAAACUAAUAGCAAAUCCAUGAAUUAUGUUUUUCCCAAGAGGACCUUUAAGUUCAAUUUUUCAAUGUCCAGAGAUUCUUGGGGAAAAAUGAAAAGUCUAAUUUCCAGAAAAUCAAGAAAAAGUUUUUUCUGUGUUUACUCUUUUGCCAAAACAAAGAGAUGGAAAACCAGAUUUCCAUGAAAAAGCAGUUUACUAAGCUGUUUUUCUUUCAACAACCCAAAUUCUUAUACCAAUCUCUAGAACUAAGAGAUACACGGCAUAAGUCUCAUUAAAUGAAAACCCUAACUUCUUAUAUCUUUCUGAAACUACCCUCUAUAAAGCAAAGGUAACUUUUCAGGGCUACUGUAGUAUGAAUAGUAAAGUUGCUACACUACUUUGCCCAUCAACUUACUAAUGGACAAUGUAACUUUUUUUUUAAUUCAUUCAACAUAAUUACCUCUAACCAUUUAAAAUGAACGUGAGAUCUUUUAAUCUCAGCCAUAAAAACUCUAAAAGCCACUAAAACUGAAAAUUAAGACUCUAAAGAAAAAUUAAAGGCUAAAACUAAAUCAUGAGCAAUCUCAAUGAUCCAGAGCCGUCCAGUGCAUCAACAGUCUAAACAAAUUGUAUCAUAUUACUCGGUGAUCACACCCCUCUGUUUCUAAACUGAGGGUCCAGGGUUCGAGGCUUGAGUGUCUUAUCCCUCAAGAUUUCUGACCCAAUUACAAGUGGGAAUUCCAUGUGUGAAAAUCCAGUUCCAAGUCUCAGACCAGCCCAGUUACACCAGUCAGACUCCCUCCUAGCCUCUUGAAAAAGAAAAAGGGGAUGGACAGAGAGGCAGGACGUGGGGAUGUCAUCUAGAGUGGUAUAAUAAACCAAAAAUGACCUCAAGAAAGAAAUUCGACUGACAGCUAUUGCAUCCUUAGUUACUUUGUUACUAUCUAUAACAUCGCAUCCUCCAUGAGUAAGCUUUCUUUUUGAGACCCAUUUGUGAAUAUCUGUAGUUCAAGAACUAUUAACUAAAGCAAGUCUCAAAAGUCUAAAGAUCAAUAACUGGAGGCAAAGCAAACAACAUUGCCCAGCAAGAGAAUGACAGAACUACAUUUAAAUGCUAUAGCUGAUACCAAGCUAACUUUUGAAAUAUCUUUUGAUAAGUAAAAGGUAUGAAGCUAACUUUGGGUUUUCUUUCACUAAUUUGGUUGUCUUAUAAUCUGUGCUUCAAAAAUUCCUUGUAUCAAAACAUAAGAUAACGUGUUGGUCAGUACAGUGUAUCCAGCAUGGUUGACAUGACACAUUCAAUACGAUGCUUGUUUCAUACCGCAUGCAACAAUAGCACAGUAUCAGCUCCAUGCCAAUGCUUGGCACGCUGCCAGGCUAUUGCAUGUAAAGCAUUGACAUGGCAUGGUAUGUAUCUGCCAUUCCCAAAAAAGCCGCAGCAAACAAUAAUUAAAUCACUAUUUAUAACCUUGAUGUCUCCAUUCUUUGUUGAGACUCUUUCCUAGUCUAGAGGUACACUGGAGGGUUGUGCACCAAUUGCAUAAAUUCAAACUACAUUACCAACGUUUAUGUCUUCCUAAUGUCAUUUUCUCUGACUUAUACAAUAAGACCAUGUCUAGUCCGAAGCAAGGUUUUAAGAGCUGCAUGCAGGUGCGAUGUAAGCCUAGUACUUGCAAGAUACACGCCAUGUUCCACGCAUUGGCCACUUUUGGCACGUAUUGGUGUGCUGUGGAUUUGCAGCCGGUGUUACUGGAACACACGGGCAUAAGGAGAAACACAUAUUUUGGUCUUCAAUUUAAACCAUUCUAAACUUCUUUCCAAGGCUCUUAGGGUUGUUUUUAUGCACACAAAAGAAGGAUAAAAUUAACAAGGUAGUAUCCUACAAUCGAAAAUCAAGAUACAUGUGCAUGUUAUUUAUUGUACAAUUUAAGAUAAUAAGGUAUAGUCUUACAUGUCAGAUGAAAUCAAGAUAUGCAUGCAUGUUAAUUACUAUAAAAUUUACGAUAACAUUACAUAGUAUUACAUGUUAGUAAUGCAUCUGGUAAAGGAG